GGCCCCCCUCCCCAACCCCAUCUCUCUCCUCUCGUUUUGUCCGGGAAAAUUGAAAAUUUUCGUAUAUUUUGAUUCAAGAGCCACAACAAUUUUGCUCCCAAAUUUUCCCCAAAACCCAUUUCUGUUCCACGCACCAGCACCCACCGGCCACCGCCACCAACAACUGCCAGACAGUUUCAGCCGGUCCGAUACCCACACCAUUUUCUCUCACCUUCCGUUCUAAACAAUUGGCGCACAAAAAUUUCAGUAAAUGGCCUCACCUUUUUUAUUACUCUCCCUCUCGCCCCCUCCCCUACGAUGUCUCUGGUUUUCACCACCAACAGCCGGUCCGAUGACCAUCCCCGGCCACGCCACCGUUACAGCCGUCCCUCCUACGCAAGGUGAUUUUUUUUUGUUUCUUCUCAGUUGGGGGAAAAAAAUGGAACAAGGAUUGAACAUUGUAACCCUUUUUAUUUUGGACAUGUUUUUCUUGUUCUCUUUUCCAGCCUACAUGUUCUUAGGUUGGGUGAGGAAAGUCCUAAAUUAGUUUGCCCUAAUUUUUCCAAAAUCCCCAAAUUAAUCUACGUUUAGGGCUUGAUUUUUCUUGCUGCUGCUUUUUUUUCUCCAUAUUUCGUUCUUUUUUUUCUCUAAAUAAAAUUGGAGGAAAAAGGUUUCAAGAAGAUAAUUUUGUCAAGGCAUUAAGGGUUGUUUGAGAUUAGUAGGGUCUAGUUUCAUGAGGUGGUUCAAAUGGUUAACUAAUUGGGAUGUUGAUCAGUGACUUUUCACUUCAUGCUCUGAUAUUUGCUUGGUUAUGCUCAUCUGAUGGCAGAAUUUCCAAGUCUUUGUGUUCCUGUGGCAGAUCUAGAGGAAUGUGUAUGCAGUGGAGGUGGUUUGAUGGGUUUUCAAAUAUGCAAUUUUGCUCAGGUCGGUUUGGGCCUUUGGGGGAACCUUUGUUCACCAACAGUGGAGUUCUUCAUUAUGUAAGCAGUUUGGGCGUGAAGUGUUUGGUUAGGGCCUUUGGGGGAAUCUUUGCCCACCAAAAGUGGAGUUCUUCAUUACGUAAGCAGUUUGGGUUCAGAGAAGGUUUGGGUAGCAUCUUGGGUUUUUGUAGCAUUAAGGAACCACGGGAUUCUCGGUUUAAGUCUUCAUUAACUCACUGCUAUUCUUGCUUCACCAUAGUGGAAUGUUGGUAAACCAUGCAAAUAUUUUGAAUGGUACGAUGAAUAUAGUUGUAGAAGUGCAAAGAUGGUGAUACCUAGAUUGCGGGCUGAGGAAUUGAAGUUGGCUGGGGGAAAUUUGAAACUAGCAGUGGGAAAACUAAAGUUGACAGAGCAAAGUAAAAGCCCACCAAAGAAAUCAAUUUUAUGCUUCGUUGGUCAUGUAUUAUAUUUUUUGUGCCCUUAUCAUGUGCUUAUGGCUUGUUAGCUAUGUAGUGUAAUAAGUGUAUGUCAUUGAUGGAUGGUGUUUAGUCGGUAUAAUUGGAAUGUGUUUUGUAAUAGGUAAAUUAUGUAAUGAAUGUGUUAUAAACAAAGUGGACAAUGUGUUGUCGUGUUUCCGUUGAGAUAUGUCAUGCCUUUGAAUGAGAUUUUCUGUUUUCUUUUGUCC